ACUCAAAGGAAUAGACGGGGGCCCGCACAAGCAGCGGAGCGUGUGGUUUAAUUCGAGGCUACACGAAGAACCUUACCUGGGCUUGACAUAUAGGUGGUAGCGACUUGAAAGAGAAGCGACCUUCGGGAGCCUAUACAGGUGCUGCAUGGCUGUCGUCAGCUCGUGUCGUGAGAUGUUCGGUUAAGUCCGGUAACGAGCGCAACCCCUAGGCUUAGUUACAAGUGUCUAAGCCGACUGCCCGGUUCAACUGGGAGGAAGGUGGGGAUGACGUCAAGUCAGCAUGGCCUUUAUGUCCAGGGCUACACACACGCUACAAUGGCGCAUACAAUAGGUUGCCAACCCGCAAGGGGGAGCCAAUCCAGUAAAGUGCGUCUCAGUUCGGAUUGUCGGCUGCAACCCGCCGGCAUGAAGCUGGAGUUGCUAGUAAACGCAGGUCAGCCAUACUGCGUUGAAUACGUUCCCGGGCCUUGCACACACCGCCCGU
rnacentral:rRNA from 1 species